AUUAAAAGCAUUUUGAAAAUUAAAAGCACUAUAAAAUGUUAAGAAAAUUUUUGAAAAUUUUUGAAAAGGGAGAAUUGUUAACAAUGAAAGCAACUUUUCAAGUUUCCUUCUCAGUCAGCCCAGACUUGGGGAUGCUGAGUGUUUAUUUUCCUUCAUUUAAAAAAUGCCUUAUUUUGACCAAUUGAGUUUCAUGCAUUUGUUUUCAGAAUAUCAUUGCAGCAGAGCAGCAAGUAGAAAACCUCUUGAUAUCCUACAACAUUUUGGAGCAGCCUCUUUAUUUAUAAAGAAUAGCAGACUUUGGAGAGUCACUGAAAAGGUUGUAAUCACCAAGCACAAGCAGCUGUGGAGGCCUGCCCCACUCUGAGGAACAGCAACUGCUCUCUGUCAGCACUCAAGGCCAAGGACACACCUCAGCCAUGUCCAGGGAGCAGGCUGCUCUGAGGGAUCUCAAGAUGCAUUUACCAAUCUCCUAGUUCAAAGACAGACUGUUCCAGAUGCUGACCUGUGCCUGAAUACAUGGGCAGUGUUUCUGUCUCCAUCUGCGUGUGUAGUCUGAAUCUCUGGACGCUGCUCUGUCCUUUGCCUACUUACUCUAGCUCUAAACCAUGUCCAUUUUGACCUGAGGCCUCAAUGACUCCCCCAGCCUUGAGAAUCACUUUGUCAAUUUGCCUGUUCUCUCCAAUUUGACCACCAGAUUUUGAUGGGUAUAGGAUUGUUGAUUCAGAGCGGGAAGGGACCUCAGAGGCAAUCCAGGCCAAACCUAUCAUUUUACUAAUGAAGAGACUUCAGUGAUCUUCCUAAAGGAGACAUGUAGUGAGAGGUAGAGCCAAGAUUUGAACCCAGAUUCUCUGACUCCAAAUCCAGCAACCAUAAAUAGUUGGACCACCCUUACUUUGUUUAAUAAUGCCCUGGUUGUCUAUAAUCAUUAACUUAAUGACCACUAAUGAAGGCGUUUACCCUCUAGAUUAGAAGUCCUUCAUCUUUUUUGUGUUAUGGACCCCUUGGACAGUGUCUGGUGAAGCCUUUGGAGUCUUUCUC
rnacentral:lncRNA from 1 species